AGGUUAGCUCUGUAAAGUUGGUCGUUGGGUUAGGGUUAGGGUUAGGGUUAGCUCUGUAAAGUUGGUCAUUGGGUUAGGGUUAGGGUUAGCUCUGUAAAGUUGGUCGUUGGGUUAGGGUUAGGGUUAGCUCUGUAAAGUUGGUCGUUGGGUUAGGGUUAGGGUUAGGGUUAGCUCUGUAAAGUUGGUCGUUGGGUUAGGGUUAGGGUUAGGGUUAGCUCUGUAAAGUUGGUCGUUGGGUUAGGGUUAGGGUUAGGGUUAGGGUUAGCUCUGUAAAGUUGGUCGUUGGGUUAGGGUUAGGGUUAGGGUUAGCUCUGUAAA
rnacentral:lncRNA from 1 species